rnacentral:rRNA from 1 species
AUUGAACGCUGGCGGAAUGCUUUACACAUGCGAGUCGAACGGCAGCACGGGGGCAGCCCUGGUGGCGAGUGGCGAACGGGUGAGUAAUACAUCGGAACGUGCCCGGUCGUGGGGGAUAACGUAGCGAAAGUUACGCUAAUACCGCAUACGAUCUGAGGAUGAAAGCGGGGGACCUUCGGGCCUCGCGCGAUCGGAGCGGCCGAUGUCAGAUUAGGUAGUUGGUGGGGUAAAGGCCUACCAAGCCGACGAUCUGUAGCUGGUCUGAGAGGACGACCAGCCACACUGGGACUGAGACACGGCCCAGACUCCUACGGGAGGCAGCAGUGGGGAAUUUUGGACAAUGGGCGCAAGCCUGAUCCAGCCAUUUCGCGUGCAGGACGAAGGCCUUCGGGUUGUAAACUGCUUUUGUACGGAACGAAAAGGCUCUGGCUAAUACCUGGGGCUCAUGACGGUACCGUAAGAAUAAGCACCGGCUAACUACGUG